rnacentral:rRNA from 1 species
UAUUGGACAAUGGGGGAAACCCUGAUCCAGCGACGCCGCGUGAGUGAAGAAGUCUUUCGGUAUGUAAAGCUCUGUCAGCAGGGAAGAAAGAAAUGACGGUACCUGACCAAGAAGCCCCGGCUAACUACGUGCAAGAAGCCGCGGUAAUAAGUAGGGGGCAAGCGUUAUCCGGAAUUACUGGGUGUAAAGGGAGCGUAGACGGCUGUGCAAGUCUGAAGUGAAAGCCCAGGGCUCAACCCUGGGACUGCUUUGGAAACUGUGGAGCUAGAGUGCUGGAGAGGUAAGUGGAAUUCCUAGUGUAGCGGUGAAAUGCGUAGAUAUUAGGAGGAACACCAGUGGCGAAGGCGGCUUACUGGACAGUAACUGACGUUGAGGCUCGAAAGCGUGGGGAGCAAACAGG